UCCCGUGGGUGAAAUUCCACCAAAAUCGGAUGAUGGGGAGAGAAAGUGAAGAGAAAACAUGCCACUCCGAGGAUACCAAUCUUCACGUUUUGUUUCAUGAGGAAAAUGACUAAAGGUUUCUUACAACAGAUGGACCCAAGGGCCUGGAUGACGGAAAACUCCAGAGAAGGGACCUUGAAUUUCUCUCCAUUAACCUAAUCACACAAGAUGAAGAGCCUCACUUCAGGAUCUGUAUAGCAGAGGAGGACGUGUAAGCUGUAAGGCGUUAAGUUCUGCCAGGAGGAUGAGACGAGUGCGCAGGUGUCGACGCCCCCACCGCCUCCACUUCAGCCUCCAUCGCUGGCCGGUCCUCGUCCCACGAGGAGGCUCUGCGAGGCGUCCCUGCUUUUGACGCCUUGCCACCACAAGGAUUGUGAGAACCACCACCUCCAGCCACCGUCACCAUUUGGUCCCCCUCCCUCCCCGCCUUACCCAUCGGCAGGAUAUGCGCCCUCUUCAUCUGAAUUAUUCAAAGCAGGCGGGGGCCUACGCCAAAGACAAUCACUACUGCAUACUUCAGUGUCUCAAUAAAUAUCUUAAACUUUAAUUUGGUCUAUCGAGUCUUUCAUGGUAGAAGUGGAGCUUCUCCCUAUUCCCCCU